CUCUUCCAGCAAGGGCUUUACUCUAGGCAAUGAGGAUUCGUCCGAGCCAGGGUUAUUGCUAGUUGAAAACUAUCAACUGACUGCUCCUGAAUGGCCUUCGGGUCGUCAGGGAAUUUUUGGACAAACCAUUG
rnacentral:snRNA from 1 species